UGUGGAAAACCAACUGAAAAACAUUUCUUAAGUAGAAAAUAUCAUUUAAUUCUGACAGACUGAAUGAAAGAGCUAAAAUGAUAAGGCAUUACGAGCAAAGGCCUAGUAAAUUUAUCGUUUUUUGGAUAGAUAAUGUUAUCAGUUUGCGCAUAUAUUAUAUGUAAGAAGAUAAAAGUUGCGAAGUAAAAGUCAUGCAAAAGAAUACAAUUAAAAUAAAUAAGUAAUGUGGCUUAAAGCCGACUCUCUUAUCGACUACCAAAGCAAGUAAUAAAAUUGUUGAUUAUAUCUUAUUCUUACAUAUACAUAUGUAUAUGUACGUACAUAUAUUUUUAAGUACUUGACAACGCAACGCCUACAGAUAAGAAUAUGAAAUUAUCAGCAGUUUACCAAAUAAUAAAACAAAUAAAAUUGCUACUUGGAUAUUCUCUUCGUCAUGGUAUUAAGGAUGUUUAACAUUUUGUUUUUACAAAAACGUGAAUAUUGCACAUUGAAGUAGGCUCUUUGAAUCGGUAGAAAUAUUCAUACAUAAGUACUAAAUGUGAAUGUGAUAAUCAAUGCUCAACGAAAUAUACAUAUGUAUAAGAAACACACUGCAAGUAAAUGAAUAAUAAACAUGGGACGAGAGACUGUGCGAAGCAGAGGAGGUGGGCACAAAAAUGCUGCGCAUUUAUGUGAUAAGUAGGUAUGAAACGAAGAAAUACUACAUCACACAUGCUGUUUUGGGGGAUUAAGGUAAUGAGUUGCAAUUGAGCUUCAUUAUUUUGGAAAAAUGGCGCUUAUAUUGCUAUUACAGGUCGUAUAGAUUAUAUUAAUUUCACUUCUGUGUGUAUAUAUUUGCAUUGUAUAUUACAGUUACAUGUGGGGUUAUUCAAAGCCUAUUGAGGUGAGUCUAAUUCCUAGACUUGUCAACUGAGCAGUUGACUUCAGGGAUUUAGGAUUAUUAUAACUUUUUUAAAUCAAUACAUAAUUUUACAUAUGCAAUUCUAUUUAUAUAUUGUUUUAUAAAAAUAUUUACUUCUAAUACUACAUUUUGCUGACUGUGCUAUCCUUAUUAGAGUUCGUAAAAUCUCCGAGCAGCAAUUUCGCGCCUCAAGUGAAAAAUAUGGGGAUGAAUAAUUUUGAUAUACACGUGCUACUGACAGCUAAUCAUAAUAAAAACAUAUACCGCUUUGACUUUUUUAUCUUACGAACGUUUUAGAAUUUGAUCCUUACUAAGUAUACUUGUCAUCUAACUUUUAAAUGCAAAAUGGAAUGAAUAAGUGAAUUUCUGAGACAAUAUCAGCACAACAAUAUUUAAAUGUGUUGCCAUCCGGCAGCGAACAAUCGGUGCGUUUUUAAAAACAACAAUAACAAAACGCUUACUCACCUGACUGUCGUGAUAUAUAUGUAUGUAUUCGCGUUCGCAGUUUGGACGUGUAGCCCAAAUGGCACUCCAGAAAUCGGUCUUGGCGCAAAAUGCGCUGUUUAUACUGAACUCCGAAUCCAAAUGUUCCGUUUCCCCUACUAGAUCACCAGUAAAUAUACAGGAUGACCAAAGAAACACGAUGACACGAUGAUGUAUUAAGUUUUUUCUCCACCACUAUUAUUGUUACUGCGUGAUUCACUAUUACAAAUAUCCCACUUAAUCGUACAAUAAGAA